rnacentral:piRNA from 1 species
UGAUUAUACCCAGGAGCUUAAUUAAAUAU